rnacentral:rRNA from 1 species
CGAGAAGUCCACUGAACCUUAUCAUUUAGAGGAAGGAGAAGUUGUAACAAGGUUUCCGUAGGUGAACCUUCGGAAGGAUCAUUGUYGAU